UACGUAGGGUGCAAGCGUUGUCCGGAAUUAUUGGGCGUAAAGAGCUCGUAGGCGGUCUGUCGCGUCGGCUGUGAAAACCCGAGGCUCAACCUCGGGCCUGCAGUCGAUACGGGCAGACUAGAGUGCUGUAGGGGAGACUGGAAUUCCUGGUGUAGCGGUGAAAUGCGCAGAUAUCAGGAGGAACACCGGUGGCGAAGGCGGGUCUCUGGGCAGUAACUGACGCUGAGGAGCGAAAGCGUGGGGAGCAAACAGG
rnacentral:rRNA from 1 species